GGCCCAAACUUGAAGUAGAGUAGAUUAGCAGGUUCAUCUGAUCCUACUCGAACUACUCUACUUCGAGUUUUUGCCC
rfam:Haemonchus contortus, ISE/inbred ISE, WGS project CAVP01000000 data, contig: Hcontortus_contig_pathogens_Hcontortus_scaffold_4524